GGGGUUUGGAUACGAGGUACUAAACUUUAGGAGUGUCACAUCGGAUGUUCGGAUGCUAAUUAGAAGGACUAAACAUGAGCUAAUUAUAAAACUAAUUGCAGAACCCCUAUACUAAUUCGCGAGACGAAUCUAUUAAGCCUAAUUAAUCCAUCAUUAGCAAAUGGUUACUGUAGCACCACAUUGUCAAAUCAUGGACUAAUUAGGCUUAAUAGAUUCGUCUCACGAAUUAGACUCCACCUGUGCAAUUGGUUUUGUAAUUAGACUAUAUUUAAUACUCCUAAUUAGUAUCCAAACAUCCGAUGUGACAGGUACUAAAG
rnacentral:lncRNA from 1 species